rnacentral:rRNA from 1 species
AUUGAACGCUGGCGGCAUGCUUUACACAUCCAAGUCCAACGAUAACAGGGUGGUUGCACCGCUGACGAGUGGCGUACGGGUGAGUAAUGCGUCGGAACGUGCCGAGUAGCGGGGGAUAACGCAGCGCAAGCUGUGCUAAUACCGCGUACAUACUGCGGUAGAACGUGGGGGCCCUUCGGGCCUCACGCUAUUCGACAGGCCGACGUCUGCGUAGCUAGUAGGUGAUGUAAAGGCUCACCUAGGCGACGAUCAGUAGCGGGUCUGAGAGGAUGAUCCGCCACACUGGGACUGAGACACGGCCCAGACUCCUACGGGAGGCAGCAGUGGGGAAUUUUGGACAAUGGGCGAAAGCCUGAUCCAGCCAUGCCGCGUGUCUGAAGAAGGCCUUCGGGUUGUAAAGGACUUUUGUCGGGGAGGAAAUCCCCAGCGUUAAUACCGCUGGGGGAUGACAGUACCUGAAGAAUAAGCACCGGCUAACUACGUGCCAGCCGCCGCCGUAACAC